rnacentral:misc_RNA from 1 species
GGAAGGAUCAUUAGUGAAUUUAACUAAAUUGGAACUUGGUGACUUUGCAAAAGGGAACCUUGAUCCACAUUUAUUAAUACACUUUCUUACACACUUGUGCAUUUGUUAUCUUUUUAACACUUGUGUCAGUUGGAUCAAACAGUUAAGAGUAUUACAAUUGUUUAAAUUGAAAGUAAAACUUUCAGCAAUGGAUCUCUUGGCUCUCGCAUCGAUGAAGAACGCAGCGAAACGCGAAAUGUAAUGUGAAUUGCAGAAUUCAGUGAAUCAUCGAAUCUUUGAACGCACCUUGCGCUCUCGGGCUAUUCCUGAGAGCAUGCUUGUUUGAGUGUCGCUUAAGCUCAACCCCCUCUCUAGUCAAAUGGAGAGUGCUUCAGGGUUGGAUCAUGACGCGUGUUGACUUGUCAACUCCGUUGAAAUACAAGAAGCUGAACGAACUUGACCCAAGUCCCGAAUGCAGGCUUCGGCUAACUAUGUUGUAUAACUUCGGUCUCAUAGUGUUGCAUGAAUGGAUCUUGAACUUUGAUCGAUAGUAGGCUUAUCUAAAACCUGUGUUUUAUACACACUUUAUUG